rnacentral:rRNA from 1 species
UACGUAGGGGGCAAGCGUUGUCCGGAUUUAUUGGGCGUAAAGCGCGUGUAGGCGGCCAGGUAAGUCCGCUGUGAAAACCCGAGGCUCAACCUCGGGACGUCGGCGGAAACCAUUUGGCUAGAGUCCGGAAGAGGAGAGUGGAAUUCCCGGUGUAGCGGUGAAAUGCGCAGAUAUCGGGAAGAACACCCGUGGCGAAGGCGGCUCUCUGGGACGGUACUGACGCUGAGACGCGAAAGCGUGGGGAGCGAACAGG